CACUCUGGCUCUGAUAGCACCAAAGAAAUCAAUGGACUGUCCUGGGAAAGUGUCGACAAGCUUUACAAUGUCCUCCUUGGGAACAUUGUCAGUCCUGAAAAUCCCUGUGCACACACCAAUCCUGUCUUCACGAGUGGGAGCCCAGUAGAAUUUCUCCAUACGACCAUCUCGGAUGAGAGGGGCAUACAAUGUAGAGAAGUCAUUGCCUGUAACUAUGAUAGGAACACGGGGAUUCUCCUCUUUG
rnacentral:misc_RNA from 1 species